rnacentral:lncRNA from 1 species
UAACAAUCUGAUGAAACCAUGUAUUUAAAUUGCUUUUCAAAUGGCUGAGCUAGCAAAAUACUGUUCUUCUGCUUUGCAGGGGGAAUUACCCAAGAAAACCAUAUGAAGUGGGGCAACCAUGCAGUGGAUGCAGCAGUGAUAAGUGCAUAGACAAGCUCUGUGAUUAUGCCUACUGGCAUCCGGACUGGGAUACAGAGCCCCAGCCACCGCGGCUCCGGCCCCCCAGGCCUCCAACACCACCCCACAUCCCACCUGCUGAGCAGCGGCAUCCCUCUUGUGACCAAUACUGUCUUAGUGUUUCAAUUUUAAGACCACUGUUUUUGAUACUGAGUACUGGUGCUGUUCUUUUAGUACAAAAGUGGUUUCCACAUACUUUUUUAAUGAGUAAUGAUCAAUUAAGAUACUGAUAGUGAUCUUACUGCUUUAUAUUACUCUCAGAGAAUUGCACACAUUUAAGAAAACACUUGGUCAUCUCUCCAUUAUCCCAGUGACGUUUAUCCACCAUAGAAAAGGCUUCUUCUCCACUUAAGGAAAGAUAAAAGUGGCAGUUCAUAGAGUUAGCAUAAUUUAUUGGCAGUAGCUGCACACGCUUCUAUGUCUGUACAAGUCACUGUGUCUGUACAAGCCACAGGAUCUGGUUCAGGAGUAGAUUGAUAGAGGGACCACAUAGACUAUAUAUUACUAUACAUGCUAACAAGCCUCCUGGAAACCUGGGGCAUCACAAAGACAUGUCUGAAGUGGCACACUGUAUCAAAAAGAAGCAAUAACUCAUCUCCAUUAACCUUAAAUUAUCCUAGACAUUGUUUUCCCCAGAUAAUAGAGAUCUAAUUUUACGUAUUACUUAUGAACAGAAGGAAUAAACCUUGUCCUUUACUGUAUUUAGCCUAUGUGUAUGUAUCAGUCUCCAUUAAAGUUACUCUAUUGUCAGGUGUACUAUUCUGUUCUCCUCCUCCCAGAGUUAAGCUCUGUCCUCCACAGCUACAAUACCAGGGGAAGUUGAUAGAGCAAGGACUAAAAUAGGGUGUUAAUGGGGAGAGCUUAAUUUUAGGAUGUGAGAUGGUGACAAAAUCUGAAAUACAAAAUCUGGAUGAGAGCCAUACUGAGCUUGCGGACAGGGAAGGUGCGGGAGCAGGGAGGAAAAACAGCAGGGGGAAGAUGAAAUAGGACCAGGACAAUCUCUGGUUCAGAAAUGGGAGAUCUCAGCCUCACUAAAAAAGCCCAGACUGUUGAGAGAUAGAUUCAUUUUGGGUUUAGAGACAUUUAACCCUUGAUCCCUAUUAUUCCUGUAUACAUUUGCUAGUAAUGGAAACAAACCUGUUUUUUAAGCUAAGAGAUGCUGGCUGGUAUUCAUAAUGCAUAACUCUGCUAUCAAUAUUUAAAACUGUUUCUCCUCCUUUAUCAUAGUCCUAAUGCUUUGAGAACACAGUGACUCAAAUUCUGAGCCACACUGCAGCUCUGAAGGAGCAUGGCGUCCCACAGAAUAAAAAUGAGCUCCAGAUGUUUGGGCUUUUGUCAUAUACUGCAAAAUGCCACCAUGUAAGAAGAC